rnacentral:rRNA from 1 species
GACGAACGCUUGCGACGUGCCUAAGAAAUGCAAGUCGAGCGAGGUAGCAAUACCUAGCGGCGAACGGUCGCGUAACACGUAAGCAACCUGCCCCAAAGACCGGGACAACGUUCCGAAAGGAGCGCUAAUACCGGAUGUGCCCAUCGGGUGACAUCGCCUGAUGAGUAAAGCGCGCAAUCGGCUUUGGGAGGGGCUUGCGGCCUAUCAGCUAGAUGGUGGGGUAACGGCCUACCAUGGCGACGACGGGUAGCUGGUCUGAGAGGAUGGUCAGCCGGAUUGGGACUGAGAUACGGCCCAGACUCCUACGGGGGGCAGCAAUUAGGAAUCUUGCGCAAUGGGCGGAAAGCCUGACGCAGCGACGUCGCGGUGGGGA